rnacentral:ncRNA from 1 species
AGAGCAAAACUAGCGCAAGCUAGUGACGCAAAGCUAUAGGGUCACAGAAUCAUAUUAUGACAGCCAGUUGCAA